rnacentral:rRNA from 1 species
UGACGAAGGGGGCUAGCGUUGCUCGGAAUUACUGGGCGUAAAGCGCACGUUAGGCGGGAUCUUUAAGUCAGGGGUGAAAUCCUGGAGCUCAACUCCAGAACUGCCUUUGAUACUGAGGACCUUGAGUUCGGGAGAGGUGAGUGGAAACUGCGAGUGUAGAGGUGAAAUUCGUAGAUAUCGCAAGAACACCAGUGGCGAAGGCGGCUC